ACGGGUGAGUAACGCGUGGGAAUCUACCGUGCCCUGCGGAAUAGCUCCGGGAAACUGGAAUUAAUACCGCAUACGCCCUACGGGGGAAAGAUUUAUCGGGGUAUGAUGAGCCCGCGUUGGAUUAGCUAGUUGGUGGGGUAAAGGCCUACCAAGGCGACGAUCCAUAGCUGGUCUGAGAGGAUGAUCAGCCACAUUGGGACUGAGACACGGCCCAAACUCCUACGGGAGGCAGCAGUGGGGAAUAUUGGACAAUGGGCGCAAGCCUGAUCCAGCCAUGCCGCGUGGGUGAUGAAGGCCUUAGGGUUGUAAAGCUCUUUCACCGGAGAAGAUAAUGACGGUAUCCGGAGAAGAAGCCCCGGCUAACUUCGUGCCAGCAGCCGCGGUAAUACGAAGGGGGCUAGCGUUGUUCGGAAUUACUGGGCGUAAAGCGCACGUAGGCGGAUAUUUAAGUCAGGGGUGAAAUCCCAGAGCUCAACUCUGGAACUGCCUUUGAUACUGGGUAUCUUGAGUAUGGAAGAGGUAAGUGGAAUUCCGAGUGUAGAGGUGAAAUUCGUAGA
rnacentral:rRNA from 1 species